CCUACGGGAGGCAGCAGUGAGGAAUAUUGGUCAAUGGGCGUAAGCCUGAACCAGCCAAGUCGCGUGAGGGAUGAAGGUUCUAUGGAUUGUAAACCUCUUUUAUAAGGGAAUAAAGUGAGGGACGUGUCCCGUUUUGUAUGUACUUUAUGACUAAGGAUCGGCUAACUCCGUGCCAGCAGCCGCGGUAAUACGGAGGAUCCGAGCGUUAUCCGGAUUUAUUGGGUUUAAAGGGAGCGUAGACGGGCUUUUAAGUCAGUGGUGAAAGUUUGCGGCUCAACCAUAGAAUUGCCGUUGAUACUGGGAGGCUUGAGUAUGGUUGAGGCAGGCGGAAUGCGUGGUGUAGCGGUGAAAUGCUUAGAUAUCACGCAGAACCCCGAUUGCGAAGGCAGCCUGCCAAGCCAUGACUGACGCUGAUGCACGAAAGCGUGGGGAUCAAACAGGAUUAGAUACCCCUGUAGUC
rnacentral:rRNA from 1 species